rnacentral:rRNA from 1 species
AGUGAACGCUGGCGGAAUGCUUUACACAUGCAAGUCGAACGGUAGAGGGGGCAACCCCUCGAGAGUGGCGAACGGGUGAGUAAUAUAUCGGAACGUGCCCAGUCGUGGGGGAUAACGUAGCGAAAGUUACGCUAAUACCGCAUACGAUCUAAGGAUGAAAGCGGGGGAUCGCAAGACCUCGCGCGAUUGGAGCGGCCGAUAUAAGAUUAGGUAGUUGGUGGGGUAAAGGCUCACCAAGCCAACGAUCUGUAGCUGGUCUGAGAGGACGACCAGCCACACUGGAACUGAGACACGGUCCAGACUCCUACGGGAGGCAGCAGUGGGGAAUUUUGGACAAUGGACGCAAGUCUGAUCCAGCCAUUCCGCGUGCAGGAUGAAGGCCCUCGGGUUGUAAACUGCUUUUGUACAGAACGAAAAGGUCUCUCUUAAUACGGGGGACUCAUGACGGUACCGUAAGAAUAAGCACCGGCUAACUACGUGCCAGCCGCCGCCGUAA